rnacentral:rRNA from 1 species
AAAACCAGCACCUCGAGUGGUCAGGAGGUUUAUUGGGCCUAAAGCAUCCGUAGCCGGUUGCAUAAGUUUUCGGUUAAAUCUAUGCGCUUAACGUAUAGGCCGCCGAAAAUACUGUGCAGCUAGGGAGUGGGAGAGGUACACGGUACUCGAUAGGAAGGGGUAAAAUCCUUUGAUCUAUUGAUGACCACCUGUGGCGAAGGCGGUGUACCAGAACACGUUCGACGGUGAGGGAUGAAAGCUGGGGGAGCAAACCGGAUUAGAUACCCGGGUAGUCCCAGCUGUAAACGAUGCAGACUCGGUGAUGCAUUGGCUUGUGGCCAAUGCAGUGCCGCAGGGAAGCCGUUAAGUCUGCCGCCUGGGAAGUACGUACGCAAGUAUGAAACUUAAAGGAAUUGGCGGGGGAGCACCACAAGGGGNNNNNNNUGCGNUUNNANNNGAGUCAACGNNNGAAAUCUUACCUGGGGAG